CAGGGGACUAGUCGACCAACGCAUUAUCAUGUGCUGUAUGAUGAAAAUAAAUUCACUGCAGACCAGCUACAGAGUUUGACCAAUAACUUGUGCUACACUUAUGCGAGGUGUACUCGAUCUGUCUCAAUAGUUCCUCCUGCCUAUUAUGCAGA